rnacentral:rRNA from 1 species
AGUGAACGCUGGCGGUAGGCCUAACACAUGCAAGUCGAACGGCAGCACAGUAAGAGCUUGCUCUUACGGGUGGCGAGUGGCGGACGAGUGAGGAAUACAUCGGAAUCUACUUUUUCGUGGGGGAUAACGUAGGGAAACUUACGCUAAUACCGCAUACGACCUACGGGUGAAAGCAGGGGAUCUUCGGACCUUGCGCGAUUGAAUGAGCCGAUGUCGGAUUAGCUAGUUGGCGGGGUAAAGGCCCACCAAGGCGACGAUCCGCAGCUGGUCUGAGAGGAUGAUCAGCCACACUGGAACUGAGACACGGUCCAUACUCCUACGGGAGGCAGCAGUGGGGAAUAUUGGACAAUGGGCGCAAGCCUGAUCCAGCCAUACCGCGUGGGUGAAGAAGGCCUUCGGGUUGUAAAGCCCUUUUGUUGGGAAAGAAAAGCAGCAGGUUAAUACCCCGCUGUUCUGACGGUACCCAAAGAAUAAGCACCGGCUAACUUCGUG